CACAAUUCAACAUUCAAAGUUACUCUUCACUAAUUUCCACAUAUUUAUGAUAACAUACAACCUACCGACCGUCCUUAGAGCAAGUGGCAAAGGACUUGGUGGUUGGUACCCGAGACCCAAGUUCGAAUUCUAGUUGAUUCACAUUUCCAACUAAGUUUAUUUCUAAAUGAAAUAAACGAAGCGGAUAGUGUGCUACCUAUCUCUCUCAAAAAAAAAGAUAACAUGCAAACCUUUUUUCAAAAAUAAAAAAUAUAUCAUCUGUAUAUCUAAUCUUACACCUUUGCAUCUAAAAAUUUUUCUAAACAUCUAAAAUUUUCAAUAUUAAAAAAAAUAGUUGAUAUG
rnacentral:lncRNA from 1 species